rnacentral:rRNA from 1 species
GACGGGGGGGGGCAAGUGUUCUUCGGAAUGACUGGGCGUAAAGGGCACGUAGGCGGUGAAUCGGGUUGAAAGUGAAAGUCGCCAAAAAAGUGGCGGAAUGCUCUCGAAACCAAUUCACUUGAGUGAGACAGAGGAGUGUGGAAUUCCUGGUGUAGCGGUGAAAUGCGCAGAUAUCAGGAGGAACACCAAUGGCGAAGGCAGCACUCUGGGACGUGACUGACGCUGAGACGCGAAAAGCGUGGGGGAGCAAACAGG